CUCUCUCUCUCUCUCUCUCUCUCUCUCCUCUCUUUGAAUUCCUCUCGAUCACUUUUAAACCCUCCCGCGGCUACUAAUUAUGGAAAACUUUAACCCUUUCCCGAAUUCUUUUCUUUACUUUCUCUCUCUAAACAAACAAAAAUAGAAGAAAACUUCUGUAGACACGGUUUAGAAGAAGGAAACUUCUCUCUCAAAACUUUGUUUCUGUUUUAAAACGUCUCUCUAAAAAAGAUACGAUCCACGAGAAAAUCUACACAGUUUCUCUCUCCUCGUUCUAAGAUUAAAUCUCUCUCUACUCCACGAUUUUUCUCCCUCUCCGCUUAAUCUGUCCUGAUAAAUCUGCGUCUCUUUUAAUCCCAAAACUUAGUUUAUCCUUUCAUAUUAGGAAAAUUUAUCUUUCCUCUAAUCUCUCCUUAAGAUAACUGUCUCUUUUAAUAGUAUCAAAUUAUACGGAGUAAACAAUCAAAU
rnacentral:lncRNA from 1 species